ACGCCGUUAACGAAAGCGUCAGUAGAUUUUUUUCCCACCCGCACCUAGCCGAUGCUUUUGCGACGUUUUAGAAAGGAUUGACAGAAAAAUUACCGAUGCUUAUAAGCGUUAGCAUAGGUUUUACAAAGCACCUGGAUAGCCUAUUUUUGUUGUAGUGUUUAUGCAUACAAUACGUGGCAGUUGUAAUAUCCAAUAUCGUUCAUACUAUAAUAAGAGAGAUUGUGCAUGAUUCUAAGCUGUAAU
rnacentral:lncRNA from 1 species